AUGCACGUCUGCAGUUGCUUCUACUGGCUCAGCCGGCGCAAGGGCCGCAUCGUCCGCUACGACGCCGCUCGCGGCCGUGCCUCGCUGCUACGCGAGCCGCUGGAGGCGGAGCAGUCCAAGUGCUGGGUGGGGCGGGCGCUGGGCAAGGUGGGCGCCGCGCUCCGGCUGUGCGUGUUCGACAUCUGCGAGGAGAAGGGCGACUCGAUGCUCCCGCAUGAAGGCCUGGAGGGCGUGCACGGUGUGUGGCUGAUGGAGGGCGUGUCGGCUGCCUCGCGCCCGUCGUGGCAGCGCAUGCAUGAGGAUUUGGUGGAGGACAUCUCGGUGUGGUACUUCCUGACCGGCGUCGAACGUGCAAUUCUUCGGGAGUGCGAGACGUCCCAUCCUCACUUAUACCUAUUUUUAUCUUUAUCUUUUCUUUACCUGCUAAUCUUUAACUCAUGUGGAGAUGAGGUAGGUCGCCCCUCCUUGCGGACACACGGACAAGGGUCUCACGUUGCCGCCGUGCAUCAGGUGUUCCUGAUGUGCCCCCUUGCUGCGUAG
rnacentral:rRNA from 1 species